UACAGAGGGUGCUAGCGUUGUUCGGAAUCAUUGGGCGUAAAGGGCGUGUAGGCGGUUUGUUAAGUCAGGUGUGAAAUUCCCGGGCUCAACCUGGGGGCGGCACUUGAGACGUAGGAACUGGAGUGAGGAAGAGGGUCGUGGAAUUCCCAAUGUAGAGGUGAAAUUCGUAGAUAUUGGGAAGAACACCGGUGGCGAAGGCGGCGACCUGGUCCUUUUACUGACGCUGAGGCGCGAAAGCGUGGGGAGCAAACAGG
rnacentral:rRNA from 1 species